ACGGACUCCAAAAGCAAGAUUCCCAGCGAACAAAGAGAAAGCUGCAUGGCCUUUUAUGACCUCAUCUCAGAAGUCACACAUCAUUCUACUGGUUACGAGUGAGUCCUUGAUCCACUGAGAUCCAAGAGGAUGAGACAAAGUCCCCAUAUCUCAAUGAAAGAGCGUCAAGGUCACACUGAAGACCAUGUGGGAUGGGAGAGAGACAUAGUGGUCACAUUUGAGAAAGGCCAUCUGACAGAUGGGAGAAGCUGAAAGGGCUGCAGACAGCAGAAGCCUCCCCUGGACCUGCAAAUAGACCAGUGCAGACAUUGAACAUCUGGGGCAAGACUAGAGUCUCCCAGCAGAUUAGUCUGCAUAUCAAGAACAACUAGACCUUAUAAAAGUCACAACAGAGCAGAGGGAUGUUCACCUGUAAAUGUACACUAUCUAGUGUUUUCUCAAAUUAGAGCAUCUGAGGGUACCUUGAGAGAAAUCAAAUGCACCAAGACAAAGUGAGAACAUACCUUGGCUUCCAUAGCUGCCCCAGGCUUUAAAUCUGAUUCUCCUCCUUCAAUUACUGCUUAUCUUCAGAAAAGCCAUGCACCUCACGAACGUCACCCGUCAGUGGCCACCCUACCUUCAUCUUGCUGGUGGGUGAGGAUGAGAGAGUUCAUGUAAAGCCAACAUAGAGCUUAAGCCCUCAGGGACAUAAAAUUUAAAGUACCACCAUUAUUCAAAAUAAGGUCAUUAUGAUGCAAAAAAGAGGAGAAGGGUUUUAAAGGAAGGAGGUCAGCCAGGCAACAGAGAGGAAAGAGGGACUCCUGGCUGCCUUCCAAAUCUCCUGGAAGUGAGAGGAUAGAAUUACGUGACACAUGGCAUAUAAAGAUCAUUAAUUCACUUUGCUUACUCAAUAGCUGAUCAUUGACAUUCAUGUGCCAGACACAGUGUUUUAUCAUACUCUGAACAAUCCUAGGAGGUAGAGAAUGGAUUACCUCCAUUUUAUAGCUCACAAAACUGAUGUUCAACAAGGUGAAACACAAUAGCAAAGGCAUGGAAUCAACCUAAGUGCCCAUCGAUGAUAGACUGGAUAAACAAAUUCUGGUAUGUAUACACCAUGGAAUGCUAUGCAGCCAUAAAAAGGAAUGAGAUCAUGUCCUUUGCAGAGACAUGGACAGAACUGGAGGCCAUUAUCCUUAGCAAACUAACACAGGAACAGAAAACCAAAUACCACAUGUUCCCACUCAUAGUGGGAGCUAAAUGAUGAGAACACAUGGACACAUAGAG